rnacentral:rRNA from 1 species
AUUGAACGCCGGCGGCAGGCCUAACACAUGCAAGUCGAGCGGGGUUUUCGGACCUAGCGGCGGACGGGUGAGUAAUGCGUAGGAAGCUACCCGAUAGAGGGGGAUACCAGUUGGAAACGACUGUUAAUACCGCAUAAUGUCUACGGACCAAAGUGUGGGACCUUCGGGCCACAUGCUAUCGUACGCGCCUACGUGGGAUUAGCUAGUUGGUGAGGUAAUGGCUCACCAAGGCGACGAUCCCUAGCUGGUUUGAGAGGAUGAUCAGCCACACUGGAACUGAGACACGGUCCAGACUCCUACGGGAGGCAGCAGUGGGGAAUAUUGGACAAUGGGCGCAAGCCUGAUCCAGCCAUGCCGCGUGUGUGAAGAAGGCCUUCGGGUUGUAAAGCACUUUCAGUAGGGAGGAAGCGUUGUGUGUUAAUAGUACACAGCGUUGACGUUACCUACAGAAGAAGCACCGGCUAACUCUGUGCCAGCCGCCGCAGUAAUAC